rnacentral:rRNA from 1 species
AGUGAACGCUGGCGGCAGGCCUAACACAUGCAAGUCGAACGGCAGCACAAGAGAGCUUGCUCUCUGGGUGGCGAGUGGCGGCCGGGUGAGGAAUGCAUCGGAAUCUGCCCAUUUGUGGGGGAUAACCUCGGGAAACCGGGACUAAUACCGCAUACGACCUACGGGUGAAAGCAGGGGAUCUUCGGACCUUGCGCAGAUGGAUGAGCCGAUGCCGGAUUAGCUAGUUGGAGGGGUAAAGGCCCACCAAGGCGACGAUCCGUAGCUGGUCUGAGAGGAUGAUCAGCCACACUGGGACUGAGACACGGCCCAGACUCCUACGGGAGGCAGCAGUGGGGAAUAUUGGACAAUGGGCGCAAGCCUGAUCCAGCCAUGCCGCGUGUGUGAAGAAGGCCUUCGGGUUGUAAAGCACUUUUGUUGGGAAAGAAAAGCAGCCGGUUAAUACCCGGUUGUCAUGACGGUACCCAAAGAAUAAGCACCGGCUAACUUCGUG